CUGAUAUGUGAUCAGCCAGUUCCAGAUGAAGUGGACGGUGCUCGUCAUCCUCACAAGGUUUCAGGAGCCCCACAGGGAGAUCAAAAAGUUGCAACCACACACUCCGUCCUUCCUUAGACCCACAGCGGAGAAUUCUGUUGUACUUCUUCCUCUCAAGAUGAUUUUAGUUUCCUUAUAGAAAAUACAGAGCUCAGUAGAUACUGCAGGCUCUAAAUUAAUUUCUGAAAAGCACAUGUCACCCCCACUC